AUUGCCCUUAUAUGCUCUCAGCAAACUAGUAUUUCACACAUGAGAAAUAAAAAGAAAAAAGUGCCCCCAAAGACCAUUGAACCUCUCAUUGUGAAACAGAAGCUCAUGAGUUUUAAAUAGAGAAGAAGUCAGGAGGGGCCUCUGAACAGUUUGUUCUCCAAGCAGCCGAGCACACCUUCACUAAGGAGAACCACAUUCUAGGAUUUAGCAUUCUUCUUGAAUUACUUAUCUCAGAUCCAAAAGUUCAACUUGCUGAAGGCUUUGAUGUGUUUAUGCCUAAAACUUCACUGUACUCUAUAUUGUCAAACUACACUCGCACAGAAAGCCUUUUGUUUAGAAAAUGGUGUGUGCAUUUUUUAUAACGACUUUGGCUAACUCCUUACCCAAUAGUAAGAGAAAAAAAGGACUUGAUGACAACCAAAAAGGACUAGACCAAAAUACUGUGUGUACAAUAAAA
rnacentral:lncRNA from 1 species